rnacentral:rRNA from 1 species
GCUCAGGACGAACGCUGGCGGCGUGCUUAACACAUGCAAGUCGAACGGUAAGGCCCCUUCGGGGGUACACGAGUGGCGAACGGGUGAGUAACACGUGGGUAAUCUGCCCUGCACUUCGGGAUAAGCCUGGGAAACCGGGUCUAAUACCGGAUAUGAGCUCUCACCGCAUGGUGGGGGUUGGAAAGUUUUUCGGUGCAGGAUGAGUCCGCGGCCUAUCAGCUUGUUGGUGGGGUAAUGGCCUACCAAGGCGACGACGGGUAGCCGGCCUGAGAGGGUGAUCGGCCACACUGGGACUGAGACACGGCCCAGACUCCUACGGGAGGCAGCAGUGGGGAAUAUUGCACAAUGGGCGGAAGCCUGAUGCAGCGACGCCGCGUGGGGGAUGACGGUCUUCGGAUUGUAAACUCCUUUCAGUAGGGACGAAGCGAGAGUGACGGUACCUGCAGAAGAAGCACCGGCCAACUACGUGCCAGCAGCCGCGGUAAUACGUAGGGUGCAAGCGUUGUCCGGAAUUACUGGGCGUAAAGAGCUCGUAGGCGGUUUGUCACGUCGUCUGUGAAAUCCUCCAGCUCAACUGGGGGCGUGCAGGCGAUACGGGCAGACUUGAGUACUACAGGGGAGACUGGAAUUCCUGGUGUAGCGGUGAAAUGCGCAGAUAUCAGGAGGAACACCGGUGGCGAAGGCGGGUCUCUGGGUAGUAACUGACGCUGAG